rnacentral:rRNA from 1 species
CCCUUAGAUGUCCUGGGCCGCACGCGUGCUACACUGACACUUGCAACGAGUACUUUGCUUUACCGAAAGGUAAUGCUAAUCAUCAAUAAGUGUCGUGAUGGGGAUAGAUCUUUGGAAUUAUGGAUCUUGAACGAGGAAUGCCUAGUAAGCGUAGGUCAUUAGCCUACGCUGAUUAAGUCCCUGCCCUUUGUACACACCGCCCGUCGCUCCUACCGAUUUCGAGUGGUCCGGUGAAACUUUUGGACCGUGCGACUUUAUUGUUGUCACGGAAAGUCAGUUAAACCAUACUACUUAGAGGAAGGAGAAGUCGUAACA